UACGUAGGGCGCAAGCGUUGUCCGGAAUUAUUGGGCGUAAAGAGCUCGUAGGCGGUUUGUCGCGUCUGCUGUGAAAACCUAAGGCUCAACCUUGGGCUUGCAGUGGGUACGGGCAGACUAGAGUGCGGUAGGGGUGACUGGAAUUCCUGGUGUAGCGGUGGAAUGCGCAGAUAUCAGGAAGAACACCUAUGGCGAAGGCAGCUCUCUGGGACGGUACUGACGCUGAGACGCGAAAGCGUGGGGAGCGAACAGG
rnacentral:rRNA from 1 species